rnacentral:rRNA from 1 species
AGGAUUAACGCUGGCGGCGUGCCUAACACAUGCAAGUCGAACGAGGUAGCAAUACCUAGUGGCAGACGGGUGAGUAGCGCGUGGUCAACCUACCGUUGAGUGGGGGAUAACUAGCCGAAAGGUUAGCUAAUACCGCAUACGUCUCCGAGGGGCAUCCCUUGGUGAUAAAAGGAGCAAUCCGCUCGAUGACGGGACCGCGUCCCAUUAGCUAGUUGGUAGGGUAACGGCCUACCAAGGCAUCGAUGGGUAGCUGGUUUGAGAGAGCGACCAGCCACACUGGGACUGAGAUACGGCCCAGACUCCUACGGGAGGCAGCAGUGAGGAAUUUUCCGCAAUGGGCGAAAGCCUGACGGAGCGACGCCGCGUGUGGGAAGAAGGCCUUCGGGUCGUAACCACUGUCGAAGGGAAGAUAAUGACGGUACCCUUGGAGGAAGCCCCGGCUAACUACGCGCCAGCAGCCGC